rnacentral:rRNA from 1 species
GGUCCAGACUCCUACGGGAGGCAGCAGUGAGGAAUAUUGGUCAAUGGGCGGGAGCCUGAACCAGCCAAGUCGCGUGAGGGAAGACGGUCCUAUGGCUUGUAAACCUCUUUAGGCGGGGAGCAAUGCCGGGCACGCGUGUCCGGAGGGAGAGUACCCGCAGAAUAAGCAUCGGCUAACUCCGUGCCAGCAGCCGCGGUAAUACGGAGGAUGCGAGCGUUAUCCGGAUUUAUUGGGUUUAAAGGGUGCGUAGGCGGAUUUUUAAGUCAGCGGCAAAAUGUCCGGGCUCAACCCGGGCCGGCCGUUGAAACUGGGGAUCUUGAGUGGGCGAGAAGUAUGCGGAAUGCGUGGUGUAGCGGUGAAAUGCAUAGAUAUCACGCAGAACUCCGAUUGCGAAGGCAGCAUACCGGCGCCCGACUGACGCUGAGGCACGAAAGCGUGGGUAUCGAACAGGAUUAGAUACCCCUGUA